rnacentral:other from 1 species
CAAAUCCUGAGGUGUUCGUUGAAGCUCAUAUCGUCUUGACCGAACAUAUCGUCUUUGGGAGUUGCUCAUUUUGGAAUGGCAAACAUGCCCUCUACUUUGUAGGGGGACUUUUAAAGUUUCAAAUACGACACCCACCUGCUAGAGUGCGGGUUCAAGGCUAUUUGCAUUACUCGACGGCACAAUCGGGAUUUGU